GACGAACGCUGGCGGCGUGCUUAACACAUGCAAGUCGAACGGAAAGGCCCUGCUUGCAGGGUACUCGAGUGGCGAACGGGUGAGUAACACGUGGGUGAUCUGCCCUGCACUUCGGGAUAAGCCUGGGAAACUGGGUCUAAUACCGGAUAGUACCCUCGUUUAGUGUCGGUGGUGGAAAGUUUUUCGGUGCAGGAUGAGCCCGCGGCCUAUCAGCUUGGUGGUGGGGUAAUGGCCUACCAAGGCGUCGACGGGUAGCCGGCCUGAGAGGGUGGACGGCCAAAUUGGAACUGAGACACGGCCCAGACUCCUACGGGAGGCAGCAGUGGGGAAUAUUGCACAAUGGGCGCAAGCCUGAUGCAGCGACGCCGCGUGGGGGAUGAAGGCCUUCGGGUUGUAAACUCCUUUCAGCCAUGACGAAGCUGGCCUUGUUGGGUCAGUGACGGUAGUGGUAGAAGAAGCACCGGCUAACUACGUGCCAGCCGCCGCCGUAA
rnacentral:rRNA from 1 species